rnacentral:tRNA from 1 species
GCGCGGUUAGCUCAGUGGUAGAGCAUUCCGUUGACAUCGGAAAGGCCGUAGGUUCGAUCCCUACACCGCGCACCA